GGCGGAUUAGCCAACGUAAGAUCGU
rnacentral:tRNA from 1 species